rnacentral:rRNA from 1 species
AUUGAACGCUGGCGGCAGGCCUAACACAUGCAAGUCGAGCGGUGCGGCGGACGGGUGAGUAAUGCCCAGGAAUCUGCCUGGUCGUGGGGGAUAAUGUCCGGAAACGGGCGAUAAUACCGCAUACUCUCAGACGAGCCUAGGUCGGAUUAGCUAGUUGGUGGGGUAAAGGCCUACCAAGGCGACGAUCCGUAACUGGUCUGAGAGGAUGAUCAGUCACACUGGAACUGAGACACGGGCCAGACUCCUACGGGAGGCAGCAGUGGGGAAUAUUGGACAAUGGGCGAAAACCUGAUCCAGCCAUGCCGCGUGUGUGAAGAAGGUCUUCGGAUUGUAACGCACUUUAAGUUGGGAGGCGUUACCAACAGAAUAAGCACCUGCUAACUCCGUGCCAGCAGCCGCGGUAAUAC